rnacentral:tRNA from 1 species
GGUCAAUUACCCAAGAGGCUGAAGGGGUCGCUCUCGAAAAGCGAUAGGGGAGGCAACUCCCGCGAGAGUUCAAAUCUCUCAUUGACCGCCA